UGGCGGCAGGCUUAACACAUGCAAGUCGAGCGGAGAGAGGUAGCUUCCUACUGAUCUUAGCGGCGGACGGGUGAGUAAUGCUUAGGAAUCUGCCUAUUAGUGGGGGACAACAUUUCGAAAGGAAUGCUAAUACCGCAUACGUCCUACGGGAGAAAGCAGGGGAUCUUCGGACCUUGCGCUAAUAGAUGAGCCUAAGUCGGAUUAGCUAGUUGGUGGGGUAAAGGCCUACCAAGGCGACGAUCUGUAGCGGGUCUGAGAGGAUGAUCCGCCACACUGGGACUGAGACACGGCCCAGACUCCUACGGGAGGCAGCAGUGGGGAAUAUUGGACAAUGGGCGCAAGCCUGAUCCAGCCAUGCCGCGUGUGUGAAGAAGGCCUUAUGGUUGUAAAGCACUUUAAGCGAGGAGGAGGCUACUUUAGUAAAUACCUAGAGAUAGUGGACGUUACUCGCAGAAUAAGCACCGGCUAACUCUGUGCCAGCAGCCGCGGUAAUACAGAGGGUGCAAGCGUUAAUCGGAUUUACUGGGCGUAAAGCGCGCGUAGGCGGCUAAUUAAGUCAAAUGUGAAAUCCCCGAGCUUUACUUGGGGAUUGCAUUCGAUACUGGUUAGCUAGAGUGUGGGAGAGGAUGGUAGAAUUCCAGGUGUAGCGGUGAAAUGCGUAGAGAUCUGGAGGAAUACCAUCGCGAAGGGCGCCAUCUUGCCUAACAUUGACC
rnacentral:rRNA from 1 species